rnacentral:tRNA from 1 species
GGCUCCAUAGCUGAGGGGUUAGCCCAUUGGUCUUAUAAACCAGGAGUUGUGAGUUCAAAUCUGGCUGGGGGCU